rfam:Ixodes scapularis strain Wikel colony gcontig_1108378991074, whole genome shotgun sequence.
CAUCAGGUUCUUCUAAGAACCAUCAAACACCGUAAGCACGGCUCAGG